rnacentral:rRNA from 1 species
GUGGGGAAUUUUCCGCAAUGGGCGAAAGCCUGACGGAGUGACGCCGCGUGUGGGAUGAAGGCCUUCGGGUCGUAAACCACUGUCAGUGGGAAAGAAGGGUGCCGGCGUGAUAAGCGCUGGCGCUUGACGGUACCUGCAGAGGAAGCCCCGGCUAACUCUGUGCCAGCAGCCGCGGUAAGACAGAGGGGGCAAGCGUUGCUCGGAAUUACUGGGCGUAAAGGGCGCGUAGGCGGGAUGGCAAGUCGGUCGUGAAAUCCCUCGGCUCAACUGAGGAGCGUCGAUCGAAACUGCCGUUCUUGAGGGUUGCAGAGGAGACUGGAAUUCCCGGUGUAGCGGUGAAAUGUGUAGAGAUCGGGAGGAACACCGGUGGCGAAGGCGGGUCUCUGGGCAAUUCCUGACGCUGAGGCGCGAAAGCGUGGGGAGCAAACGGGAUUAGAUACCCGGGUAGUCC